AAACUUUCAACAACGGAUCUCUUGGUUCUGGCAUCGAUGAAGAACGCAGCAAAAUGCGAUAAGUAAUGUGAAUUGCAGAAUUCAGUGAAUCAUCGAAUCUUUGAACGCACAUUGCACCCUCUGGUAUUCCAAGGGGUAUGCCUGUUCGAGCGUCAUUA
rnacentral:rRNA from 1 species